AGAUGGUUAGCUCAGCGGUAGAGCGUCUGCCUUACAAGCAGAGGGUCACUGGUUCGAAUCCUGUACCGUCUA
rnacentral:tRNA from 1 species